CGUUAAGUUGCAGGGUAUAGACCCGAAACCCGGUGAUCUAGCCAUGGGCAGGUUGAAGGUUGGGUAACACUAACUGGAGGACCGAACCGACUAAUGUUGAAAAAUUAGCGGAUGACCUGUGGCUGGGGGUGAAAGGCCAAUCAAACCGGGAGAUAGCUGGUUCUCCCCGAAAGCUAUUUAGGUAGCGCCUCGUGAAUUCAUCUCCGGGGGUAGAGCACUGUUUCGGCUAGGGGGCCAUCCCGGCUUACCAACCCGAUGCAAACUGCGAAUACCGGAGAAUGUUAUCACGGGAGACACACGGCGGGUGCUAACGUCCGUCGUGAAGAGGGAAACAACCCAGACCGCCAGCUAAGGUCCCAAAGUCAUGGUUAAGUGGGAAACGAUGUGGGAAGGCCCAGACAGCCAGGAUGUUGGCUUAGAAGCAGCCAUCAUUUAAAGAAAGCGUAAUAGCUCACUGGUCGAGUCGGCCUGCGCGGAAGAUGUAACGGGGCUAAACCAUGCACCGAAGCUGCGGCAGCGACGCUGAUGCGUUGUUGGGUAGGGGAGCGUUCUGUAAGCCUGCGAAGGUGGCCUGUGAGGGUUGCUGGAGGUAUCAGAAGUGCGAAUGCUGACAUAAGUAACGAUAAAGCGGGUGAAAAGCCCGCUCGCCGGAAGACCAAGGGUUCCUGUCCAACGUUAAUCGGGGCAGGGUGAGUCGACCCCUAAGGCGAGGCCGAAAGGCGUAGUCGAUGGGAAACGGGUUAAUAUUCCCGUACUUGGUGUUACUGCGAAGGGGGGACGGAGAAGGCUAUGUUGGCCGGGCGACGGUU
rnacentral:rRNA from 2 species